rnacentral:rRNA from 1 species
UACGAAGGGGGGCUAGCGUUGCUCGGAAUCACUGGGCGUAAAGCGCACGUAGGCGGCUUACUAAGUCAGGGGUGAAAUCCUGGAGCUCAACUCCAGAACUGCCUUUGAUACUGAGGAUCUUGAGUUCGGGAGAGGUGAGUGGAACUGCGAGUGUAGAGGUGAAAUUCGUAGAUAUUCGCAAGAACACCAGUGGCGAAGGCGGCUCACUGGCCCGAUACUGACGCUGAGGCACGAAAGCGUGGGGAGCAAACAGG